ACAACACGUUCUCUCUCAAAUUAUCUAAUUAAUUAAUAAAUUAAAUUAAAAUAUUUUUUCUCCCCUUGUUCAUCAGCCAGUCACCAAAUUCUACUGAUUUAGGGUCCAAAAUUUCUCUCAGAUUGAGCCCUCUUGUUUCCAUCCUCAUCUCCAUCUCCGGAAUCCAGACCUUCAUGGCCACUUGCCUGAACUGUUUUUAUAGCCCUCUGAUUCCUCUUCCUUCUGAUUCUGGUGCCUUCCCUCCCCAAUCAUUCUACACAUUGCUGCCAGAAUUAUCUUCCUGACAGUGUGACUUCUGUAAAUCUUUGAUACAGUGUCACUUGUUUAAUGUGUUCAUUUAAGGGCCAUCUUAUAGGUGCUCAUUAGGUACUAGGAGUAACUGGAGGCCCUGUGGACAUAAAUAUAAAGAAGACCCAGUGCUGAUGGAGAUGGUGGCUUACCAAGACAUAAACAGGAGUCUCACACAUCAUAUGUGCUUUCACCAUGAAGAUAAGGAAACGAUUUGCCAACCCUCAUUUAAUCCGAAAGUAGACUCUGUGUGAUUUUUUGAAAAUUUAUUUAUUUGUGAGAGACAGAAGGAGGCAGAGACACACAGGCAG